UACGAGGGGGGCGAGCGUUGUUCGGAAUCACUGGGCGUAAAGAGUGCGUAGGCGGUUAUGAAAGUUAGGAGUGAAAGCCCCAGGCUCAACUUGGGAAUUGCUCUUAAUACUCCAUGACUUGAAUUCGGGAGAGGAUAGCGGAAUUGUCAGUGUAGCAGUGAAAUGCGUAGAUAUUGACAGGAACACCAGUGGCGUAAGCGGCUAUCUGGACCGACAUUGACGCUGAGGCACGAAAGCGUGGGGAUCAAACAGGAUUAGAUACCCUAGUAGU
rnacentral:rRNA from 1 species